rnacentral:rRNA from 1 species
CCUACGGGAGGCAGCAGUGGGGAAUUUUGGACAAUGGGCGCAAGCCUGAUCCAGCAAUGCCGCGUGAGUGAAGAAGGCCUUCGGGUUGUAAAGCUCUUUUGUCAGGGAAGAAACGGUGAGGGCUAAUAUCCUUUGCUAAUGACGGUACCUGAAGAAUAAGCACCGGCUAACUACGUGCCAGCAGCCGCGGUAAUACGUAGGGUGCAAGCGUUAAUCGGAAUUACUGGGCGUAAAGCGUGCGCAGGCGGUUUUGUAAGUCUGAUGUGAAAUCCCCGGGCUCAACCUGGGAAUUGCAUUGGAGACUGCAAGGCUAGAAUCUGGCAGAGGGGGGUAGAAUUCCACGUGUAGCAGUGAAAUGCGUAGAUAUGUGGAGGAACACCGAUGGCGAAGGCAGCCCCCUGGGUCAAGAUUGACGCUCAUGCACGAAACGACGGUGGGGAGGACGAAACGAAGGAGUAGUAUACCGUACGGUAGUACCGACCGACCCGUAACCGACUGUACUACUAGUUGUUCGGUUCGUUAUUAGUACUU